rnacentral:lncRNA from 1 species
UUGCUUGGUAGUUGUUCAAGACUCCUAAGCACUCUCAAGUGCUGCUUUGUGAUAAUUGUUGAAACAUGCUACACUUAGGAUGGACUCAAUGCCUCAUCGACGUGAAAAUCCGCUCCCAAAUGCCGAAAUGGCACAUAUUAUGGCACAGCAUAUGGCUGCUGUACUCCCAGAUAUUAUUGCUUAAGUGAAUCAAGCCAACAAUAACCAGAAUGCUCCAUGCAAUUUCAAAAGCU